rnacentral:rRNA from 1 species
CUACGGGGUGCAGCAGUGAGGAAUAUUGCACAAUGGGGGGAACCCUGAUGCAGCAACGCCGCGUGGAGGAUGACGCAUUUCGGUGUGUAAACUCCUUUUAUAUGUCAAGAAAAUGACGGUAGCAUAUGAAUAAGCACCGGCUAACUCCGUGCCAGCAGCCGCGGUAAUACGGAGGGUGCAAGCGUUACUCGGAAUCACCGGGCGUAAAGGACGCGUAGGCGGGUUGGAAAGUCAGGUGUGAAAUCCCACAGCUUAACUGUAGAACUGCACUUGAAACUUCUAAUCUAGAGUAUGGGAGGGGGAGAUGGAAUUAGUGGUGUAGGGGUAAAAUCCGUAGAUAUCACUAGGAAUACCUAAAGCGAAGGCGAUCUCCUGGAACAUUACUGACGCUAAGGCGUGAAAGCGUGGGGAGCAAACAGGAUUAGAUACCCGAGUAGUC